CUAAUGUUUUAUAUUAACAGUGUUAGUUUUGUAUUUGUUUGGGAUGCUUUAUAUAUAAUGUAUCUAAUGUUUUCACUGUUUGAUGUUCAAUUGAACAUGGUAAAUGUGAAAUAUUGAUGGUUUUGCUGCUAAACUUAUUAUGUCUUGUUCUCUUCCAUGUUCUAUGUUAUAACUUCGAAGCCGAGCCAUAGAAAAGUUUAGUAACUGAUGUUUUGGUCUGUUUUGUGUUAUAACUUUGUAUGGUUGAAACAGAAUAAGGCCAUAUCUCUUUCCUUUUUUUCUCCUUUGUUUCAUCUGAGUGAAUAUAAUUGCUAAUUAUGGUUGUAUCAUGUUUCAUUUCAGCAAAAAUAUCAUCUACUGCUGUUGAAUUUUGCUCUGUAUGAACAGAAGCAUAAGGAAAUGAAUUGCUGUUGAAAUAGGAGCUGAAGCAUUUUUUUUUUAUCAUUUUUAGGUAUCUUCUAUUUUCAAAGUUGAGAGAGGCAAGAAUGAUGUUGAACUGUAUAUCAAAUAUUAUUACUCUAUUGCUUUUAAAUUGAUUUUGCUAUUAUUUUGUUUUUAAGAUGUUGUGGAUCAGAAGACAAUUAGCCUUUUAAAUUGUUGUUAAAAGAAUAAUUUUGUUUACCUUAAUAUUUUGUUUGUUAUUUUGUA